rnacentral:rRNA from 1 species
CUACGGGCGGCUGCAGUGGGGAAUAUUGCACAAUGAGCGAAAGCUUGAUGCAGCCAUACCGCGUGUGUGAAGAAGGCCCGAGGGUUGUAAAGCACUUUCAAUUGGGAGGAAGGUUAAGUAGUUAAUACCUGCUUAAUUUGACGUUACCUUUAGAAGAAGCACCGGCUAACUCUGUGCCAGCAGCCGCGGUAAUACAGAGGGUGCAAGCGUUAUUCGGAAUUACUGGGCGUAAAGCGCGCGUAGGCGGAUUAUUAAGUCAGUUGUGAAAGCCCUGGGCUCAACCUGGGAACUGCAUCUGAUACUGGUAGUCUAGAGUUUAAGAGAGGGAAGUGGAAUUCCAGGUGUAGCAGUGAAAUGCGUAGAUAUCUGGAGGAACAUCAGUGGCGAAGGCGACUUCCUGGCUUAAAACUGACGCUGAGGUGCGAAAGCGUGGGUAGCGAACGGGAUUAGAUACCCCUGUAGUC